ACGCAUUUCCAGUUCGUAAGAACAGGAUCUGACGGAGCGGCGAACGGGUGAGUAACACGUGAGUAACCUGCCCCACAGACCGGGAUAGCACAGGGAAACCUGGAUUAAUACCGGAUAUUCUCUUCGGACCUCAUGGUCCGCUGAGGAAAGGCCUUUGUGCUGUGGGAUGGACUCGCGGCUUAUCAGCUAGUUGGUGGGGUAACGGCCUACCAAGGCAUCGACGAGUAGCUGGUCUGAGAGGACGAUCAGCCACACUGGGACUGAGACACGGCCCAGACUCCUACGGGAGGCAGCAGCAGGGAAUCUUGCACAAUGGGCGAAAGCCUGAUGCAGCAACGCCGCGUGUGGGAUGAAGGCCUUCGGGUUGUAAACCACUUUCAGGAGGGAAGAAAUUGACGGUACCUCCAAAAGAAGCACCGGCCAACUACGUGCCAGCAGCCGCGGUAAUACGUAGGGUGCAAGCGUUAUCCGGAAUCAUUGGGCGUAAAGAGCUCGUAGGCGGUUCAGAAAGUCGGCUGUGAAAGUUCAAGGCUCAACCUUGAAAAUGCAGUCGAUACUUCUGUGACUAGAGUCUGGUAGAGGAGAAUGGAAUUCUCGGUGUAGCGGUGGAAUGCGCAGAUAUCGAGAGGAACACCAGUAGCGAAGGCGGUUCUCUGGGCCUCGACUGACGCUGAGGAGCGAAAGCAUGGGUAGCAAACAGGAUUAGAUACCCUGGUAGUCCAUGCCGUAAACGUUGGAUACUAGGUGUGGCGUCCCGAUUAACGGAUGCCGUGCCGAAGCUAACGCAUUAAGUAUCCCGCCUGGGGGAGUACGGCCGCA
rnacentral:rRNA from 1 species